rnacentral:rRNA from 1 species
CCUACGGGCGGCAGCAGUGAGGAAUAUUGGUCAAUGGCCGGAAGGCUGAACCAGCCAAGCCGCGUGAGGGAGGAAGGCGCAGAGCGUCGCAGACCUCUUUUGCAGGGGGACAAAAGGCCGGACUCGUCCGGUCCUGCGGGUACCCGGAGAAAAAGCAUCGGCUAACUCCGUGCCAGCAGCCGCGGUAAUACGGAGGAUGCGAGGGUUGUCCGGAUUCAUUGGGUUUAAAGGAGGCGCAGGCGGGCCUUUAAGCCGGCGGUGAAAUCGCGGGGCGCAACCCCGCCGGGCCGUCGGAACUGGGGGCCUUGAGUGCGGCGUGGGCAUGCGGAAUGCGCGGUGUAGCGGUGGAAUGCAUGGAUAUCGCGCAGGACCCCGAGUGCGGAGGCAGCGUGCCGUGCCGCCACUGACGCUGAGGCACGAAAGCGCGGGGAUCGAACAAGAUUCGAUCCCCCGGGUAGUC